rnacentral:rRNA from 1 species
GACGAACGCUGGCGGCGUGCUUCAUACAUGCAAGUCGAACGAUAAGGCCCUUCGGGGUACGAUAAGUGGCGGACGGGUGAGUAAUAUUUAGGAAAUCUGCCUUCUAGAGGGGGACGAACAGUUGGAAACGACUGCUAAUACCCCAUAUGAGCUACUCUGAAAUGGGUAUCUUGAAAACUCCGGUGCUAGAAGAUGAGCCUGAACCUGAUUAGCUUGUUGGUGGUGUAAUGGACUACCAAGGCGACGAUCAGUAGCUGGUUUGAGAGGAUGAUCAGCCACAAUGGGACUGAGACACGGCCCAUACUCCUACGGGAGGCUG